rnacentral:lncRNA from 13 species
GGCCCCGACACCCGCGCCGGCCGGGAGUCCGCAGACUGGCGACGGGGCAGCGGCGGCGGCGGCGGCGGCGGCGCCCAGGAGCGCCCCGAACUUCCGCCCUCCGAGGACCCGUCCCGCCCGCCCCGCGCGGCCCCCGAGGGCCGGGGCCGAGGAGCCACCUUCCGCAGGCCGCGGGAAAGGCGCGCCGAGUCCUGCAGCUGCUCUCCCGGCUCGGGAAACGCGCGGGGCGGGGGCGUCGGGCUUGGGACGGGGGAGGAGACGGGGCCACCUUCCCUCACCCAGGCCUGCAGGGGCCCGGCCUCCCCGACGCAGACCACGGCGCCCUCCGGGGCCGCCCUCCGGUCCCGCGCAGCAGGCAGCCGCCAGCCUGCGCCCGGGGAGCGUCCGUGGGGAGCGUCCGUGGCGAGCGCGGCCCCCGCCCCGACCCGGGGCGCUCUCACGGCGGCGCACUGGCGGGCCGCGCACGGCUGGCGGCGCGGGACUACUUUCCCCCGCCCUCUCGCGCCCCGCCCCGUGUCCUCGCGCGGCGGAACGCUCCGCGCGGUGCCGGCGGCGGCAGGAUACAGCGGCUUCCGCGCGACUUAUAAGAGCUCCUUGUGCGGCGCCAUUUUAAGUCUCUCGGUCUGUGGCAGCCGCGGUAGCCCGGCCCCGGGAGCGGAGAGCGAGGGGAGGCGGAGACGGAGGAAGGUCCGACGAGCAGCCUCAGUGCCCGCCGAGCCGCCACCGCAGGUCGAGGACGGUUGGACUCCCGCGGCGGGAGGAGCCUGUUCCCCUGAGGUGCUUGGGCGCUCCUUUCCUUAUCCUUCCGGGGCUGCUCCCGCUUCCUCUCGGAGCCAAACUUCGUCGCAGGCGCGCGGUCCGGGCGGCGGGCUGGGAGCCGGGCCGGGCACAGCCCGGAGGCCUGGGGUGGGGAGCGGGGGUUCGGGUGGGGGACGGCGGGGGCGGGACGCGCCCGGGGCGCGGAGGGCGGUGGCCGGGCCCGGGUUCCGGUCGCGCUGCCCCUCAGGGGCCCCGGGGGCAUCGCUUGCAGGGAGGGGGUGCCGCGGGGUCGCGUCCAGGAGCCCGGAUGGCCGGCGGGUGGGAGUGGGGGUGGGGGUCUGUGGUUUCUGUGCGGGGCUCCGGCCUUGGCCGAGUUUGGGGGAGGGACCCUGUGCCUCGGGAUGCGCUGGGGCCCGGGGUGGGGUGGGGGGCGGGGUGGGGACCGGGGGCUCCGCCUUUUCAGCUCCUGCGGCGAGUUGGGGUUCGGGGGCUCAGGCCGGAGCGCCACCCUAA